rnacentral:sRNA from 1 species
UAAGUUCACAAAUAUUGCUAUAAAGGAC